rnacentral:rRNA from 1 species
GACGAACGCUGGCGGCGUGCUUAACACAUGCAAGUCGAACGGAAAGGCCCUGCUUUUGUGGGGUGCUCGAGUGGCGAACGGGUGAGUAACACGUGAGUAACCUGCCCUUGACUUUGGGAUAACUUCAGGAAACUGGGGCUAAUACCGGAUAGGAGCUCCUGCUGCAUGGUGGGGGUUGGAAAGUUUCGGCGGUUGGGGAUGGACUCGCGGCUUAUCAGCUUGUUGGUGGGGUAGUGGCUUACCAAGGCUUUGACGGGUAGCCGGCCUGAGAGGGUGACCGGCGACAUUGGGACUGAGAGACGCCCCAGACUGCUACGGGAGGCAGUAGUGGGGAAUAUUGCACAAUGGGCGGAAGCCUGAGGAAGCAACGCCGCGUGCGGGAUGACGGCCUUCGGGUUGUAAACCGCUUUCGCCUGUGACGAAGCGUGAGUGACGGUAAUGGGUAAAGAAGCACCGGCUAACUACGUG